GAUGAACGCUGGCGGCGUGCCUAAUACAUGCAAGUCGAGCGAACAGACGAGGAGCUUGCUCCUCUGACGUUAGCGGCGGACGGGUGAGUAACACGUGGAUAACCUACCUAUAAGACUGGGAUAACUUCGGGAAACCGGAGCUAAUACCGGAUAAUAUAUUGAACCGCAUGGUUCAAUGGUGAAAGACGGUUUUGCUGUCACUUAUAGAUGGUUCCGCGCCGCAUUAGCUAGUUGGUAAGGUAACGGCUUACCAAGGCAACGAUGCGUAGCCGACCUGAGAGGGUGAUCGGCCACACUGGAACUGAGACACGGUCCAGACUCCUACGGGAGGCAGCAGUAGGGAAUCUUCCGCAAAGGGCGAAAGCUUGACGGAGCAACGCCGCGUGAGUGAUGAAGGUCUUCGGAUCGUAAAACUCUGUUAUUAGGGAAGAACAAAUGUGUAAGUAACUAUGCACGUCUUGACGGUACCUAAUCAGAAAGCCACGGCUAACUACGUG
rnacentral:rRNA from 1 species